rnacentral:rRNA from 1 species
GAGUUUGAUCUUGGCUCAGAGCGAACGCUGGCGGCAGGCUUAACACAUGCAAGUCGAACGGGCACUUCGGUGCUAGUGGCAGACGGGUGAGUAACACGUGGGAACGUACCUUUCGGUUCGGAAUAAUUCAGGGAAACUUGGACUAAUACCGGAUACGCCCUUCGGGGAAAGAUUUAUCGCCGAUAGAUCGGCCCGCGUCUGAUUAGCUAGUUGGUGAGGGUAAUGGCUCACCAAGGCGACGAUCAGUAGCUGGUCUGAGAGGAUGAUCAGCCACACUGGGACUGAGACACGGCCCAGACUCCUAC